rnacentral:rRNA from 1 species
UACGGAGGAUCCAAGCGUUAUCCGGAAUCAUUGGGUUUAAAGGGUCCGUAGGCGGUCUUGUAAGUCAGUGGUGAAAGCCCAUCGCUCAACGAUGGAACGGCCAUUGAUACUGCAGGACUUGAAUUACCAGGAAGCAACUAGAAUAUGUAGUGUAGCGGUGAAAUGCUUAGAGAUUACAUGGAAUACCAAUUGCGAAGGCAGGUUGCUACUGGUGGAUUGACGCUGAUGGACGAAAGCGUGGGUAGCGAACAGG